GCUUAACGCGAAGAACCUUACCACCUUUUGACAUGCCUGGACCGCCACAGAGAUGUGGCUUUCCCUUCGGGGACUGGGACACAGGUGCUGCAUGGCUGUCGUCAGCUCGUGUCGCGAGAUGUUGGGUUAAGUCCCGCAACGAGCGCAACCCUCGCCAUUAGUUGCCAUCAUUCAGUUGGGAACUCUAAUGGGACUGCCGGUGCUAAGCCGGAGGAAGGUGGGAAUGACGUCAAGUCCUCAUGGCCCUUACAGGGUGGGCUACACACGUGCUACAAUGGCGACUACAGAGGGUUAAUCCUUAAAAGUCGUCUCAGUUCGGAUUGUCCUCUGCAACUCGAGGGCAUGAAGUUGGAAUCGCUAGUAAUCGCGGAUCAGCAUGCCGCGGUGAAUACGUUCCCGGGUCUUGUACACACCG
rnacentral:rRNA from 1 species